rnacentral:tRNA from 1 species
AGUUAAUUAACUUAAUUAAAGUUUAUAUUUUGAAAAUAUACUAUAUAAGUUAAAGUCUUAUAUUAACUU